CGAACGGCGGCACGGACUUCGGUCUGGUGGCGAGUGGCGAACGGGUGAUGUCAUAUCGAACCGUGCCUAGUGGCGGGGAUAACUACGCGAAAGCGUAGUAAUGCCGCAUACGCCCUUCGGGAAAGCAGGGGACCUUCGGGCCUCGCACUAUUAAACAGCCGAUAUCGGAUUAGCUAGUUGGUGGGGUAACGGCUCACCAAGGCGACGAUCCGUAGUAUAGUUUGAGAGGACGACCAACCGCACUGGGACUGAGACACGGCCCAGACUCUGGGAGAGCAGCAGUGGGGAAUUUUGGACAAUGGGGAAGCCUGAUCCGCUGCUCCCGCGUGUGCGAUGAAGGCCUUCGGGUUGUAAAGCACUUUUGGCAGGAAAGAAACGGCACGGGAUAAUACCCCGUGCAACGGGCAAUGCCUGCAGAAUAAGCACCGGCUAACUACGUGCCGCCUGUCCCGCGGUAAUACGUAGGGUGCAAGCAUUCAAUCAGGUACUGGGCGUAAAAGCGCGCGGGCGGUUCGGAAGAAAGAUGUGAGAAAUCCCAGAGCUUAACUUUGGAACUGCAUUUUUAACUACCGAGCUAGAGUGUGUCAGAGGGAGGUGGAAUUCCGCGUGUAGCAGUGAAAUGCGUAGAUAUUGUGGAGGAACACCGAUAGCGAAGGCAGCCUCCUGGGAUAACACUGACGCUCAUGCGAAAAGCGUGGGGAGCAAACAGGAUUAGAUACCCUGGUAGUCCACGCCCUAAACGAUGUCAACUAGCUGUUGGGGCCUUCGGGCCUUGGUAGCGCAACUAACGCGUGAAGUUGACCGCCUGGGAGUACGGUCGCAAGAUUAAAACUCAAAGGAAUUGACGAGGGACCCGCACAAGCGGUGGAUGAUGUGGAUUAAUUCGAUGCAACGCGAAAAACCUUACCUACCCUUGACAUGUCUGGAAUCCGAAAGAGAUUUAGGAGUGCGCUCACAAAGAAAACGGAACACAGGUGCUGCAUGGCUGUCGUCAGCUCGUGUCGUGAGAUGUUGGGUUAAGUCCCGCAACGAGCGCAACCCUUGUCAUUAGUUGGUUCACUACGAAAGGGCACUCUAAUGAGACUGCCGGUGACAAACCGGAGGAAGGUGGGGAUGACGUCAAGUCCUCAUGGCCCUUAUGGGUAGGGCUUCCCAUCAUACAAUGGUCGGACGAAGGGUGUAACCCGCGAGGGGUGUCGAAACCCGAUCGUAGUCCGGAUCGCAGUCUGCUCGACUGCGUGAAGUCGGAAUCCUCGUCAUCGCGGAUCAGCAUGUCGCCCGGUGAAUACGUUCAGGUGCUUGUACACACCGCCCGUCACACCAUGGGAGUGGGUUUACCGAAGUAGUUAGCCUAACCGUAAGGAGGCGAUUACCACGGUAGGAUUCAUGACUGGGGUGAAGUCGUAACAAGGUAA
rnacentral:rRNA from 1 species